AGAGUUUGAUCCUGGCUCAGAAUCAACGCUGGCGGCGCGCUUAACACAUGCAAGUCGCACGAGAAAGCCGGAGCAAUCUGGCAAGUAAAGUGGCGUACGGGUGAGUAACACGUGGAUUAUCUACCUCUUAGUGGGGAAUAACCCUGGGAAACCGGGGCUAAUACCGCAUGAGCCUGGAAAGGGAAAGCAGCAAUGCGCUG
rnacentral:rRNA from 1 species